rnacentral:rRNA from 1 species
UACGUAGGGGGCAAGCGUUGUCCGGAAUCAUUGGGCGUAAAGAGCGUGUAGGCGGCUCGAUAAGUCUGCUGUGAAAGUCUAAGGGCUCAACCCUGGAAGGCCGGUGGAAACUGUCGGGCUAGAGUCCGGAAGAGGCGAGUGGAAUUCCCGGUGUAGCGGUGAAAUGCGCAGAUAUCGGGAGGAACACCAAUGGCGAAGGCAGCUCGCUGGGACGGUACUGACGCUGAGACGCGAAAGCGUGGGGAGCAAACAGG